rnacentral:rRNA from 1 species
GUAGGGAAUUUUCGGCAAUGGGGGAAACCCUGACCGAGCAACGCCGCGUGAAGGAAGAAGGUUUUCGGAUUGUAAACUUCUGUUAUAAAGGAAGAACGGCGGCUACAGGAAAUGGUAGCCGAGUGACGGUACUUUAUUAGAAAGCCACGGCUAACUACGUGCCAGCAGCCGCGGUAAUACGUAGGUGGCAAGCGUUAUCCGGAAUUAUUGGGCGUAAAGAGGGAGCAGGCGGCAGCAAGGGUCUGUGGUGAAAGCCUGAAGCUUAACUUCAGUAAGCCAUAGAUACCCGAGUAGUCC